rnacentral:tRNA from 1 species
GGCUGGUUAGCUCAGUCGGUUAGAGCGUGGUGCUGACGACAUCAAGGUCAGGGGUUCGAACCCCGUUCGGUCC